rnacentral:rRNA from 1 species
GACGAACGCUGGCGGCGUGCUUAACACAUGCAAGUCGAACGGAAAGGCCCUGCUUUUGUGGGGUUCUCGAGUGGCGAACGGGUGUGUAACACGUGAGUAACCUGCCCUUGACUUUGGGAUAACUUCAGGAAACUGGGGCUAAUACCGGAUAGGAGCUCCUGCUGCAUGGUGGGGGUUGGAAAGUUUCGGCGGUUGGGGAUGGACUCGCGGCUUAUCAGCUUGUUGGUGGGGUAGUGGCUUACCAAGGCUUUGACGGGUAGCCGGCCUGAGAGGGUGACCGGCCACAUUGGGACUGAGAUACGGCCCAGACUCCUACGGGAGGCAGCAGUGGGGAAUAUUGCACAAUGGGAGGAAGCCUGAUGAAGCAACGCCGCGUGCGGGAUGACGGCCUUCGGGUUGUAAACCGCUUUCGCCUGUGACGAAGCGUGAGUGACGGUAAUGGGUAAAGAAGCACCGGCUAACUACGUG